rnacentral:rRNA from 1 species
UGGGGAAUAUUGCACAAUGGGCGCAAGCCUGAUGCAGCCAUGACGCGUGUAUGAAGAAGGCCUUCGGGUUGUAAAGUACUUUCAGCGGGGAGGAAGGCGAUAAGGUUAAUAACCUUGUCGAUUGACGUUACCCGCAGAAGAAGCACCGGCUAACUCCGCGCCAGCAGCCGCGGUAAUACGGAGGGUGCAAGCGUUAAUCGGAAUUACUGGGCGUAAAGCGCACGCAGGCGGUCUGUCAAGUCGGAUGUGAAAUCCCCGGGCUCAACCUGGGAACUGCAUUCGAAACUGGCAGGCUAGAGUCUUGUAGAGGGGGGUAGAAUUCCAGGUGUAGCGGUGAAAUGCGUAGAGAUCUGGAGGAAUACCGGUGGCGAAGGCGGCCCCCUGGACAAAGACUGACGCUCAGGUGCGAAAGCGUGGGGAGCAAAGA